GAGCCAUUCCUGAACCAUAUAUUUAAGUUUGCCAGGUUGUUCGCCACCUAACACCAGGCUUAGAAACCGUUGUCGGCAGCGAGCGACCUGAAGAAGGCAGUACGGAGAGCUCAGCGUAAGCUACAGGACCAGAUCAGUCUUCUCCGGAUUUAAAAAAUUAUUACAGCUAAGAAGCAAUGGCUGUCACAAAUUAAUUUGAGGACCGUGGCUCUGGUCGUAAUUUCUCACGGAUGAAUGUCAUCGACUUGAACACCUAGUACUCAAGAGCUCUACAGAAGGCUUCCAUCAUCACCACUACCUUCGUCACUGCUUUAUUAUGGAUCUAAAUGACUGGCUAUUUGUUGAGAUCCUUCUGAUGUUUCGGAAAAUAAGGGGCAAUAGUGCGGACCGAAUGCAGGUUCUCUGACGGAUAGAGCGAGAACGUCCACGCUAAGUUUACAAAGGUUUUGCAACUCGACCAGGAUCAUCCUAUUCGCCAGUCAUAUCCUUAUUGUCAAUUGUCUAGUUUUUUCAGUUUUUGUAAAUUAAAAUAAUUUGUAUAA